GACGAACGCUGGCGGUGUGCUUCACACAUGCAAGUCGAACGAAGUCUUCGGACUUAGUGGCGCACGGGUGCGUAACGCGUGGGAAUCUGCCCUUGGGUGCGGAAUAACUUCUCGAAAGGGAUGCUAAUACCGCAUAAUGUCGUAAGACCAAAGAUUUAUCGCCCAAGGAUGAGCCCGCGUAAGAUUAGCUAGUUGGUGGGGUAAAAAGCCUACCAAGGCGACGAUCUUUAGCUGGUCUGAGAGGAUGAUCAGCCACACUGGGACUGAGACACGGCCCAGACUCCUACGGGAGGCAGCAGUAAGGAAUAUUGCGCAAUGGACGAAAGUCUGACGCAGCGACGCCGCGUGGGGGAUGAAGGUCUUCGGAUUGUAAACCCCUUUCGGGAGGGAAGAUGGAGUGGGUAACCACUUGGACGGUACCUCCAGAAGCAGCCACGGCUAACUUCGUGCCAGCAGCCGCGGUAAU
rnacentral:rRNA from 1 species